rnacentral:misc_RNA from 1 species
AACUGAUACUACCUGCGGGAACCUGCGGAAGGAUCAUUACCGAGUUUACAACUCCCAAACCCCUGUGAACAUACCACUUGUUGCCUCGGCGGAUCAGCCCGCUCCCGGUAAAACGGGACGGCCCGCCAGAGGACCCCUAAACUCUGUUUCUAUAUGUAACUUCUGAGUAAAACCAUAAAUAAAUCAAAACUUUUAACAACGGAUCUCU